rnacentral:rRNA from 1 species
AGCAGCCGCGGUAAUUCCAGCUCCAAUAGCGUAUAUUAAAGUUGUUGCAGUUAAAAAGCUCGUAGUUGAAUUUCGGGAUCAAUUAAUUGGUCGUGCCUCUGGUACGUACUGGUUUUAUUGGUUUCUCCCUUCUGACGAACCAUGAUGUCAUUAAUUUGGUGUCGUGGAGAAUCAGGACUGUUACUUUGAAAAAUUAGAGUGUUUAAAGCAAGCUAACGCUUGAAUACAUUAGCAUGGAAUAAUGAAAUAGGACGUUUGAUCCUAUUUUGUUGGUUUCUAGGAUCGACGUAAUGAUUAAUAGGGAUAGUUGGGGGCAUUAGUAUUCAAUUGUCAGAGGUGAAAUUCUUGGAUUUAUUGAAGACUAACUACUGCGAAAGCAUUUGCCAAGGAUGUUUUCAUUAAUCAAGAACGAAAGUUAGGGGAUCGAAGACGAUCAGAUACCGUCGUAGUCUUAACCAUAAACUAUGCCGACUAGGGAUCGGAUGAUGUUAAUUUUUUAAUGACUCAUUCGGCGCCUUAA